CCUACGGGAGGCAGCAGUGAGGAAUAUUUGUCAAUGGACGAGAGUCUGAACCAGCCAAGUAGCGUGAAGGAUGACUGCCCUAUGGGUUGUAAACUUCUUUUAUAUGGGAAUAAAAUGUUCCACGUGUGGGAUUUUGUAUGUACCAUAUGAAUAAGGAUCGGCUAACUCCGUGCCAGCAGCCGCGGUAAUACGGAGGAUCCGAGCGUUAUCCGGAUUUAUUGGGUUUAAAGGGAGCGUAGGUGGAUUGUUAAGUCAGUUGUGAAAGUUUGCGGCUCAACCGUAAAAUUGCAGUUGAAACUGGCAGUCUUGAGUACGGUAGAGGUGGGCGGAAUGCGUGGUGUAGCGGUGAAAUGCUUAGAUAUCACGAAGAACUCCGAUUGCGAAGGCAGUUCACUGGACUGCAACUGACACUGAGGCUCGAAAGUGUGGGUAUCAAACAGGAUUAGAUACCCCAGUAGUC
rnacentral:rRNA from 1 species